UCCGAGACGAAUUACAGGCGUUACGAACCGGAGCAAGGACUAAUCUCGCCAUAAUGAGGCAGUGACCUCGGAUUUGCUCCAGAAAAGUCCAGAUUUCGAUUUAGAUAAAGACGUCAUUGUGUCCGCCUGCAAGACGUAUUGAGACUGUACGCAGGAGCUUCAGGUUUUCCCAGCCGGAACACUCAUUGCGGGCGGAAGCUGCGAAGAAUUCAGCGCAGAGUCGAGCCUGCUGGAAUUGAGACAAAGUGUGCUGGCUGAUGACGAGGUGGAACUCUGGAAAUCCGCCACCGUAGAGCUCACGUCGGACGGAGAGGAUGGCGUCGUUGGUAGGGUCUCGGGGUGGAUUGUACGGUCGCCGCCAUUGCGUAGUCGCCUCGAAGGAGACUCAGAAAUACAGAGCCACACACCUGAGGCGCCUGCCUCGGAAAACACGCCGCCAGUGACAGUCUACAACCCAGAGGAGGCAAACGGACAGUUUACUGAGCUGUAGUUUUUUAA